rnacentral:lncRNA from 1 species
CCCGCCGCCUAGUCAUAUUCAUUUGACUUGCUACAUCUGCUUUUCAAGGGCUGCUCAUGCUGUUCUUGAAGGAUUUUAUAGAAGGGCAUUUUCAUGUCAGUAGCCAGAUGAAGAGUUGAAUUUUAAAAUGAAGAGGAGAACUCAAAGUGGUGAUCCAACUUGGAAGCUACCAUCAGAAUAUAAUUCCUGCUGAUAAACUAGAUAUUCGUGAGAAAAUGCAAUUUCCAGGCAUCCCCUCAAGGCGAAGACUUCC